ACAGAAUCCAAAUAGAAGGGAUUUAAGAUAAGAAUGAGUGGAUGGGAAGUGCAUGCGGCAAAUGGCAACUAUGUAUUUGAAAGGACUGGCUGUGAACUGAGGAGAGAGAGAGAGUUCAAUUUCUAGAAGGGAAAGCAAGUUCUACAAGCAUAUCACUUGUUCUUCCUCUAUAAGAAGAUCUUGGUUUAUCUUGGCUCUUCCAUAUACAUUUUAGAAUCAUGUUGUGAAGGUCAAGAACCGUGAAGAUGCUGAAAUUUUUACCCUACUUACGAAACCAACAUGUUAGUUCCGUGGAUGGAGUUCCACGAUGCUGGAAGAAGACAUGAACUCCUGGGUCAGAGAUAAAGGACUUUACUUAAGGAAGAGCAAGCAGCAAAGCAAGUUCCUUCCCUUUGAGAUUGCCAACAUUCUCAACAAGUAUCCCUGUGUGCUUUUGAUGAAGAGGAAGGAACAGUAUGGAAGAUUUCACAGGAUAUUCUGUGGUCAGGCCUGCAAGUACAUGCGUCACUUCUGCCCACAUUCAUAAGGACAGAGCUAAGUCUCAUAAAUACAAGGAAGGUGAAAAUGUGAUUUAACUGUAUGCCUAGCACAGAAAGGAGAAUCAGAAUCCCUGCCACAUUUUCUAAUGUAACUACAUUAUGGUCAUAACAUGUGUUCUGUAUGAUAUCAGUUCUUUGAAAAAUUUAAGACACAGCCCAUUUUUGCAAGUGUUUUUUUGUGUGUGUUGGAAAAUAAUGUAUAUUUUCCAAUUACUAAAUGCAAGUGUCUGUAUAUGUAUAUCAACUAAAUCAAAGUUGUUGAUUUUAUUGUUCAAAUUAUUUGCAUCCUAUUGGUUUUCCUUACCUACUUUAUGCAUUAAUAGCUAAGAGAUAUGUAUUAAAAAUUUCCCACAGUGUUGGUGGAUUUGUCAAUUUCUCCAUAGGUUUUAAAAUUUAUAUGCAAUUUAUUUUGAGGCUAUGAUAUUAAACAAUGUAAAUUUGCAAAUGUGAUCUCUUUUUAUUAUAUUCUUUAUUUUUAUAGAGUUCUCUUAUUAGUAUUUUUUUCCUUUAAAGAAUAUUUUGACUGAUAUUAAUUAUGGUCAUAUUACUUUUUUUUUUUGGUUAAAUUUGCCGGGUUCUCCUUCUGAAACUUUGAUUAGAUAUUUUGGACUUUCUCACUCUAUUCUUCUUGUGUCUUCAACUCUUUUAAAAUAUUUUGCAUCUUUUUAUCUCUAUUGCUUUAUUCUUUUUCUUCUUUUGCAGAAGAACAUUCCAUUUUAUUAAUUCUCUACUCCAUUGUAUCCAAGUUAUUUAACCUUUACAUUGAAUUUUUACUUUUAAUUAUUAUACUUUUUACUUCUAGGAGAACUUUGCCCUCAAAUUCUGCCUGAUUUCUUGCUGAUUAGUCAUAUUUUUACCUCUUUCUUGUUUAAAAAAUUUUUUUCCUUAAACACAUAAUUUUUCUAAAAAAUUUAUAAUAUAUUCCCUAUAUUUGUACAUUUCCAAUAUUCAAGUUUCUGUUGUUUAUUAUUUCUGUGACACUUGCAUGCAAUGGCUUAGUUCAAAUGUAUUUUGUGAUUUUUUAAAAUUGAUUCUGAAGUUGUAUUCGCAAUAAAAC
rnacentral:lncRNA from 1 species